rnacentral:rRNA from 1 species
UACGAAGGGGGCUAGCGUUGCUCGGAAUCACUGGGCUUAAAGGGCGCGUAGGCGGCUUGCCAAGUCAGGGGUGAAAUCCUGCAGCUUAACUGUAGAAGGGCCUUUGAUACUGGCGAGCUCGAGGGAGGUAGGGGUAUGUGGAACUUCCGGUGGAGCGGUGAAAUGCAUUGAGAUCGGAAAGAACACCAACGGCGAAAGCACUCUGCUGGGCCGACACUGACACUGAGAGACGAAAGCUAGGGGAGCAAAUGGG